CGCCUGCCGGCGACCGGCGCACGGGUGAGUAGCACGUAUGGAACCUGCCCGCCACAGGGGGAUAACUCGGGGAAACCCGGCCUAAUACCCCAUGCCGCCCGGACCGGGCAUCCGGUCCGGGCGAAAGGAGGAAUCCGGUGGCGGCUGGGCAUGCGGCGCAUUAGCUUGACGGCGGGGUAACGGCCCACCGUGGCGACGAUGCGUAGGGGUUCUGAGAGGAAGGCCCCCCACACUGGAACUGAGACACGGUCCAGACUCCUACGGAAGGCAGCAG
rnacentral:rRNA from 1 species